AUUGUUAAUUUUAAUGGACCUUAUUCAAUGAAAAUUUUCUAAUUAACGCGCACCUGAGUUGGUGGUAAAAUGGCGGAUUUUUGUAAGAAGGACAGGCUGAGCAAUCUUGUCUUUUUAUCCAGCCAUUCUAGCUGUGAGAACCACUUUGAGCUAUCCUUUUGUUUCAGUAUACUCUAUUUAUCUCUUCCGAAUAUUCUUACUCAUUGGCAAUUCCCGUUUUUCUAAAUUUUGCUUUCAGGAGCCAGGGCGCUUGCCCCUCCGUUGCUAUCAAGACAGAAGUCUAUUCAGCUGAGUCCUAUAACUAAUUUCUAUCAUCAGACUUAGUCUCAGUCCGUCAGAACCAGGAUUGGUCUUUAUUCACAUAUAGGAAUCACUCCAAGGAUCAUAAGUGUGCUGUAAUAGAUGAGCAUCAUGUAACUAGCUAUUAAUAGUA